GAUGAAGAACGUAGCGAAAUGCGAUAAGUAAUGUGAAUUGCAGAAUUCAGUGAAUCAUCGAAUCUUUGAACGCACAUUGCGCCCGCCAGUAUUCUGGCGGGCAUGCCUGUUCGAGCGUCAUUUCAACCAUCAAGCCCCAGGCUUGUGUUGGGGUCCUGCGGCUGCCGCAGGCCCUGAAAAACAGUGGCGGGCUCGCUGUCACACCGAGCGUAGUAAUACAUCUCGCUUUGGACGUGCGGCGGGUUCUUGCCGUUAAACACCCCCCUUCUCAAGGUUGACCUCGGAUCAGGUAGGAAUACCCGCUGAACUUAAGCAUAUCAAUAAGCGGAGAA
rnacentral:misc_RNA from 1 species